GCAACAAGUCCUCCAACUCAUACGACCGUAUGGGUCGUUUGUCACUAUCCAUAAAUACGACCCACACGAGCGUUCUCUAAAUUAGCGCCCCUAUUGGCAACAGGAGGUAUGAUAAAUGAACUUUCGCCUAAAUGCAUUGUGGGUUUAUUUUAACAUGUUUGCUAUUUGCGUUUUGAAUUGUUUGAUUUAAACUCUCCCAGAUGUUCGUGGAUUUUGAUGAUAUGGAUUUUAGAUGACUUCGAGACAUGUACAGUUUUGCAGUUUCUUCAUAUCACAUACAUCUCCAGCUCCUACAACAACAUUCAGUGUCCAGCAGCUCUUUAUGAUGCUCUCUCUCUCUCUCUCUCUCUCUCUCUCUCUCUUUCUCUCUCUCUCUCUCUCUCUCUCUCUCUCUCUCUCUCUCUCUCAUUUUCCUUUCCUAUUUUUCUGAACUGUAAUUCAUAAAUAAGUCACACAUAUUUUUCUUUCUUUCUCUUGUUCAUCAUGGCAUAUUUUCACAGCUCAGAAUCAGAUUUUGAUCAGUUCUUGUAUUAACAGGGAACUUGUACUCGAAGCUCAACUUGAAGAAGUUUCCAGUGAAGAUGAAGUCCUUCAAAGGUUCGACACAGCUGAAAAGGAAGACCAUGGGCCUGUCAAACCUUGUUUGUGGAGAGGGAUGAAUUUGACCAUCUUGUGUGUUUACGGAGAAGACCAAAAGCUGCUAAGGCAGAUAUUUCCAGAGGUACAAACAGAGCGGAUGGUUGCAUGAUGGCCUCUUUCAGGUUUGUCAACUGAAUGUCUACUAGUGUGGCUCAGCAAGUUCCUGUCAUGAUCAGCCCUCUCCAAGAAAGCUGAAGAGCAAAAACACAGAACAUCAGUCCUGUUGGGGAUGAGGAAUGAACAUGGCUCUAUUGUGCCCAAACAGAAAAGAGUGAAAAGUCCUAGAAUGAACAAAUCAUCAGGGCAUCAUUUCUGGAAUUUGGGCAGAAAAUGACUGAAUAUGAAAGACUGCAGUAGAAGGAAAGCUGGUACUGAGAACAUUUGUCUUCACUCCAGACUAAAGAGAAGCGGGUCUGAGGCCAGAGAUGGAGGAGUCAAUGGUCACCAAAUGCAGCGCUGCAGCCUGAAACUGUGAAGACUGAAUUCCCAAACAGCUGUGUGACUGCACAGAUGUUACGGCCAUAAAAGAAACUUCACAACUGAGAGCCCAUACCUCCAACAACCUUCAACAGGAAUCAAUGGACAUCUACGCAAGGUUUUUCUUUUGUUGAGGACCGUCAGAGACUCCAGCCACACGAGCCAUGGAUUGCUCUCAACAUCACCAUCAGACAGACAUUAUCACAGAACCAGCACCAGCAGACUGCAAAACAAGUUCCUUCAACAGGCAAUCAGACUGAACUGAACUCGUACCAGUAACACCACACACACACACACACAUACACACACCAGCAGCCUCAUACUGUGUGCACUGCACUCUAUCAGCUACACUGACUGGACUCUGACUCACUAUUAUUCUGCAACCUGAUAUUCUGUUUGCACUAAUUCAUACUGUACUGAAAGUGAAAGUGACGUGACAUACAGUCAAGUAUGGUGACCCAUACUCAGAAUUUGUGCUCUGCAUUUAACCCAUCCGAAGUGCACACACACAGAGCAGUGAACACACACACACUGUGAACACACACCCGGAGCAGUGGGCAGAGGUAUAUCUACAGUAUACAGUGAUUGCUGUUUAUUGUUUUCAUUUUGUUCUCUCUGUUUAGUAUAGUAUUGCACUAUAUUUUCUACCUGUAUUGAGCUCUUAUGUAUACGGUUUAUAUUUUUGAUACUGUAUAUGUGUUGCAAAUAUAUUCAGUACUUGUCAUGCUGCAGUUUGCAGAAAAGCAUUUUACCACCUGUAUACUUGCAUUCAUGGUAUUGUGAUAAUAAAAUGAUUUGAUUUGAAUUGGUCACAUGACUUGUUCAUCAGUUGUAUUGUUGUGCUGGAUAACAAUUGCAAAUUGUUUAUGACAUUGAAGAAGAUCAUGAUAGAGACAUGGAUUUGAAGAAAACCAGGAGAGCUCUGAUGAUGAGAAGGAAACUGGAUGUGAUUCUUUGGUGCUCAAGACAUUUCACCAUGCCUUCAUCUGGGUUUCUUCAUCUGAUUAAAAUAAAAUGGUUUUAAUGUAACCCAUUUUUAUUUCACUUGAAUAUAAUUUGUCUUAAUAUGCUUCUUUAUCUGUCUUUAUGCUGCAUCCUAGUAAAAUAUUGCGUACGGUGUUGGAUAAUCAAGUAUGGUGAAUAUUCUGUACUAGAGAUGGUUUUUUGGUAGAUACACCAUUUAAUUUUGUAAACAACACAUAUAAUCACCAUGGUUGUUUUGAUGAAGACAUGAACAUUUAGUAAUAUUAAUGAAAUUCAGUUAGAUGAAGAGCUGCAUUAGAAGAGACUGCAUGGACUUCAUGCACAACUGAAGGUGAUGAAUCAAGGAAAGAUCAACAUGAAUCCUGUUCUGUAUUAUAAUGAAGAUGUUCAUGCACAUUACUGAUGUCUAGCUCCUGAGCAGGACAAAGAUGAGACAUUCUUUACAGAGAUUUAUGAAUUAGGUAUUUUAUAUUAUGAUUCUUUAAAUUGCAUGAAUUGUAUGGAACCAUAAACUGCACACUGUCACACAUUGUCUUACUGAAUGACACAUUGGCCUUGUCUGAUGAAAUGUCAGAAUAUGUAUUUGUUGUCUUUGUUUACUAUUAGCACUGUAUUAUUGCUCUUGAUCUUAUGAAAUAAAUUGAGCUCUUUCCAAAUGGGCACUUAUGUUGA